CACCUCUUGGCCUCUGUAUCCCUUCAACCCUUACUGAUAUCAGGGAACUCAUUUUAAUGCAGUCUUUCCCACUAGUACAUCCAAACCCCAGGUUAAGAGCUCUAACAGCACCUUCCAGGGACUCCGAUUUCUUUCUUUAUUGAUGUAAUUCUCAGUACUUUGGCAAGCAGGGUGUCUUCAGGGCCCUUUCAAGGGACUGUUAGGGAAUGAGUGAGCGGAUCUCACAUAAUUAACCAAGUCCAGCAUCUAUAGCCCCUUCCUCUACAUCGGACUUCCUAACCUUGGGUAGGUAUUUUACUCUUCUGAGAAGCUUUGACACUGGUACCCAGGCCCCAUCCACAGAUAUUCUGAUUUAAUUGGUCUGGAGGGCAACCCUAGAAGCAGUGGUGUGAAAAGCCCCUCGGGUGAUUCUAAUGUGCAGCCGUGCCUGAGAACCGCUGUUCUACACCAGGUCAUGGAGUUUCCAGAACUCCAUUUUACAUUGGCUGCCAUUGAAUUCAGGAUCAAGUCAACCAAUCAGAACAGUAAUCACCUGCUCAAGAUAGUCUGUUAAACAAGGAAUCUCUGGUCAGAGCACUCUGGGUGACAAAUGCAGCUCUAUCUGCAUUAUGUUCCUCCCUUCCCAGCCCAGCAUCUUCAGAAGUAAUCCCCACACACACUUCCAUGCUUCUUCCUGGCACACUAGCAGGUUCUUGCAUACCUUUGACUCUAGAUGCCUUUUGUUCCCAGGUUUGACUUUAUGUCUGACCUCCUGUGACUGUGGGGUUUUGAUCUCCUGAUAGGUGGCAAGGCAGUGAGUGGUGGCGGCCAGGGCUCAGGGGAACUUGGAGGGAUUUGGACCUCCCACACACACUGGCCAAGUCACUUCUGUGGGUGAGGCAUUCCAGGGCCCCAAGCGAGGCAGGUCAUGUGCCUGUGUCCCAGCAGCAAAGGAAGUCAGGGAACUGAUUUUUCUGGGUUCUGCUCUCCCCAGGCAGAAUUCACAAGGCUGGUAUGUGAGGUUCAUCUCAAGGAAUUGGCUUACGUGAUGGCAAAGGCUGGAAACUUUCAGGUAGAGCUGAUGCAGUGGUCUUGAGGCAGAAGCUUUCUUCCUCAGGGCAACUUCAGUUUUGCUCUUCAGGCCUUUCAGCUGAUUAGAUGAGAUGCCCCCACCUUAUCAACAAUGAUCUUUAUUUAACAUCACCUGACUCUAGAUGUUAACCUCGUCUACAAAACUGCUCCACAGCAAUACGUAGAUUAGUGUUGUAUUGAAUCACUGGGGACCCUAGCCUGGUACCCAAGUUGACACAUAAAAUUAACUACCAAAGGAGUUCCCUGGUGGCUCAGUGGGUUAAGGAUGUGGCAUUGUCACUGCUAUGGCUCAAGUUGCAGCUGUGGCACAGGUUCAGUCCCUGGCCUAGGAACUUCCAUGCAUUGCAGGCAUGGCUAACAAAGAAACAAGAAAAAACCCAAAACUAACCAUCACAGAUGGUUCUUUUCCAGAGUUAGCACUGAUGUUCAGAAGGUACUGGGAAGCCAGAAAAUAUGGUGGAUGUUUAUGACACACCCUGAACUCAUCACUGAAGAGGAGGUGAUGAUGAUGUUGACGAUAACAACUACAACAAGCCGUUGUGCCCCCACCAUGUGGCAAAGGCCUGGUAUAUUACUAUCUCAUUUAAUCCUCGCAAUAAUUCUUUAACACACUUGUGAUUAUCUCCACAUUAUCAAUAAGGAAUCUGAGGCUCAGAAAGGUUAGGUCAUGGUCACAGUGCACAUGGAGGAGAGAGGAGUAUGAUCCACUCUGCCAGAGUCCAAAGCCCACUGCCACCACCUCUAUAGCUGCCUCUCUGUCUUAGGAAACCACUUGAGUAAUUUAGCUAAUCCUUAACAUCCGUGCUAAGGGGGGACUGAAGGAAGUCCAUUAAAGCAGUGAUGCUCCAACUUUAAUGCGCAUGAGUGUCACCUGGAAAGGUUGUUAAGGCUCCACUAGCUGAGAUUCUGGUCCAGCGGUCAGAGGUGGAGCCUCAGAUUCUGCUUUUUUUUUUUUUUUUUUUUUGUCUUUUCUAGGGCCACACCCAUGGCAUAUGGAGGUUCCCAGACCAGGGGUCUAAUCGGAGCUAUAGCUGCCGGCCUACACCACAGCCACAGCAAUGCAGGAUCCAAGCCACGUUUGCAACCUACACCACAGCUCAUGGCAACGCCAGAUCCUUAACCCACUGAGCGAGGCCAGGGAUCAAACCUGCAACCUCAUGGUUCCUAGUCGGAUUCGUUAACCACUGUGCCACGACGGGAACUCCAGAUUCUGCAUUUUUAACAAAUUCCCAGAUAAUGGUGCUGGUGCAGAACCAAACUUUAGGUAGCACAGGGUAGAGAAAUCCACACGUGACGAGCACCUCUCCCCAGCGAAACUUUUAAGAGCAACAUCUAUAAAUAGCAGACAGGCCAGGCUGGCUGGAGUGGCGUCUCUCCUCUCCAGCCUGAGGCUGACAGUGAAGUGAUCAGAAGUCAAAGGGGUUAUCAAGGAGGAGAAGCAGCAAAGGCAGCUUGCUAAUCUCCUUGCCAAAGAGGAGCUACUGACGGAGGGAGAGAGGACUGGGUUUCAGUUGUGUGAGCUUUUCCACAAGCCUGCACACUCCCUGGUCCCGGGUUCUGAGGGAGCCCUGGGAGGCAGAGUUGACCCAGCAUCAUUUUCCCCAUUGAGGAAGCUCCAGACAGAAGUUCAGCUCUCAGGCGAGAAGAGAGGAUGGGCUGGGCACGGCCAGGGCUGUAGCCAGCUCACUUGUUUCCAGUACAAGAUCUCGGAGUUCUGCCCAAGCCCAUGCUGCCUCCAUGUGAGGAGACCCCACUGCUCUCUCCUGACAGUUUACUGGAGUGGGGAUUUGAGACAUGGUCCUGAGAGGUACCAGGAAGGGGAUGAACAUUCAGAAAAUGGGUAAGGGUUCCAGUUCAAUCAUUUAAGCUAUAAAACAUCUGACUUUCAGUUUUGUCACUUGCAAAAUGGGAAAAUACAAGAAUCUACCUUACAGAGAAAAGUUUCAGUGCGUGGUUGUAAAAUUUUAUAUUGCUUUGAAUCUUUCCCUGCCUCAUUUCCUUUUUAAAUUUUAUGUGACAGAUACUCCAAUUGAGCACAAACUGUUUUCAAUUUGGAAGAAAGAACAGUCACUUCUAGAUUCUUUAAGGAUUUGGAUAGUCUGGACUUGAUCAAAUACCUGAGUGAACACCCGGCAAAAUAAUGAGAAGGGUUUCUUAGCUUGGGUCCUCUGGAAAGCAGAGCCUGAAGCAAAGAUUAAAACCCUGACAUUCAUUGUUUGAGAAGUGUCUAGUCCAGGAUGAUGAGAGUGAGGAAAAAGGGAAGUCAGGGGCAGGGGUGGGGAGAUGAGGAAAGAUGCAAAACAACAUGAUGCAAGGUGUUACCGCCCUGGGUACCACUUUAGACAGGCUGAGAAGGGACAAGCAGGUAAUUUAGCAUGCGUGUUUGUUCAGCACAUGGGACUCCACCAAGAUAAAUGCAAGGGAGAGCUAGCCUUUUACGGGUGUCCAUGGGAGAGAGUAAGGAGGGCAGCCUUGGUGCUGCCAUUGAUGGAUGGCCAAGGGGAAAGGCUUUGCUUCCCUCCAUCUCUUGUUGUGUCUUGUAAACAUGCCCACCUCAGGCUUUAGCUGGAAGCUAACUGAUAGUCCAUGGCCCCUUUGCUAGGGAUGAUGGUGGGUUCUUUGAUUCAGUUCCACGCUCCCCACCCAUGCUAACUGUAGCCAGUUCCCCUACUAAGUUUUGCAGGAAGCAAGCAACCUAACCAAGGUUGACCUUGUUUCCCUCAAUGUCUUCCUGCCUUGAGCAUGACUCUCAUACCCCUGGUAUAACUGUGGCAAGGUGAAUUUGACUUUUUCUGUCCCUGUAAGUUUUGCCAAAGUGGCCGUAAAUGGCCUCUCUUCAGCUACCUGCAUGGGAGGUGCCAGUUAUGAUGAAAAGUGGUCUUGAUUCCAGUCCACUCCGAUACAGUGGCUGAUACAUAGGAGAUGUACGAUGUAACACCUGCCCCCUUCAAUACUCCUCUUAUUAAUGAUGAUAUUGGUAUUGAUCCCAUUAAAUAACUGUUUUCCCCCAUCACCUCUUUCUCUUACGUUUUCUCCCUCCUGUCUUUUAUUUCUGACCUCAUCUUGAUGAUCUCCUCUUUGUGAGUUUGUAUAUCCCUUUUAAUUAUGAAGUGGUGAUAAAUUAUUGAGAAAUUCCUACCAGAGAAAAACAAGAAAUUUAAAGUCUUCUCUCAUCUCAACAAAGAGCUGUGGUUCUGUUUACAUCACUAGAGUUGCAAUCAGAAAGUACUAAACAGCCCAGAUUAAUGCUCCAAACAGCUUCUGUGUGGGUGGGCAAGGCAAUUAAAAGCUAGACAUGUUCAAGUUUUUAGCGGAUGUCUAGGUGAUAAAAAUGCUGUCAACAUAUCCAAGGAGGAAUCUGCAAACUUGUGGUGGAACAACACAAUUCUCAUGUCCACAGUGGAAACUCUCAUCUUUUCUUCAAGUUCAAUGUCAAACUGUAGAGGAGUAUUAAUGGGAGUCAUGGACUGGGAAUAGAGUAGAGACAGCAGGUGGCUUUGUGUUUAAAGGAGAGCCAAGGAGACACCCAUUAAAAUGACAAUUAUGCUACAGAACUUUUAAAAACCAAUCUCUAAACUUCUAGAUGGAAAAAGAGAUGAAUUGCUUUAGGAUAUCUUAAAAAGAAAAAACCUUCAAAAAGUGUGAAGGGUCCUUCAGCACCAUCUGGGUCUGCAGCUUGAAAUGACUCAUUGUCAUUGCCUUUAAGUUCUGUUGAUUCUCCUUAAUGUAGCAGGAAUGUUGCUAUGUGCUUCAUGUAUACCGUCUCACUCUUCACAGCAGUAGGUAUUACUAUCUCCAUUUUGCAGAUGGCAAGACUGGGUCUCGCACAAGUUAGGAAGAAUAGCAAGGAGAUCCCUUGUGGCUUAGGAGGUUAAGGACCCAGCAUUGUCACUGCAGUGACUCAGGUUGCUGCUGUGGCAAAGGUUUUAUCAAUGACCCAGGAACUUCCACAUGCUGCAGGUAGAGCCAAAAAUGAGAGAGAGAGAGAGAGAGAAAAAAAAAGCCUAGCAAAAGUGACACAGUUUUCAGGGGCAGGUUCUAAUCUUAGGACUGAGAGCUAACUCCAAAACCUAUUGCAUUCCCACCCUACCACUUGUUGUAGCCUACUCUUUGAGAAGGCACUUCAGAUUCUAAGCUAUAAGUAGAUUGAAAGUAAAAGAAUGGAAAGAAAUAUACCAUGCAAAUGGCAACCAUCAGAGAGCUGGAGUAGCUAUGCAAAUACCAGAGAAAACAGACUUUAAAACAGAAAUGUCACUAGAGUUAAAUAUGGACAUUUUAUAAUGAUAAAAUAUGUUGUUG
rnacentral:lncRNA from 1 species